rnacentral:piRNA from 1 species
AGACCGCUUGAAAGUCAUGAUGCAGGUU